rnacentral:rRNA from 1 species
UACGGAGGGGGCAAGCGUUGUUCGGAAUCAUUGGGCGUAAAGGGCGCGUAGGCGGCUGACCAAGUCGGGUGUGAAAUCCCUCGGCUCAACCGAGGAACUGCAUUCGAUACUGGUUGGCUAGAGUCCGGGAGGGGAUGGUGGAAUUCCCAGUGUAGCGGUGAAAUGCGUAGAUAUUGGGAAGAACACCGGUGGCGAAGGCGGCCAUCUGGACCGGCACUGACGCUGAGGCGCGAAAGCCAGGGGAGCGAAUGGG